GACGAACGCUGGCGGCGUGCUUAACACAUGCAAGUCGAACGGAAAGGCCCUGCUUUUGUGGGGUGCUCGAGUGGCGAACGGGUGAGUAACACGUGAGUAACCUGCCCUUGACUUUGGGAUAACUUCAGGAAACUGGGGCUAAUACCGGAUAGGAUCUCCUGCUGCAUGGUGGGGGUUGGAAAGUUUCGGCGGUUGGGGAUGGACUCGCGGCUUAUCAGCUUGUUGGUGGGGUAGUGGUUUACCAAGGCUUUGACGGGUAGCCGGCCUGAGAGGGUGACCGGCCACCUUGGGCCUGCGAUACGGCCCAGACUCCUACGGGAGGCAGCAGUGGGGAAUAUUGCACAAUGGGCGGAAGCCUGAUGCAGCAACGCCGGGUGCGGGAUGACGGCCUUCGGGUUGUAAACCGCUUUCGCCUGUGACGAAGCGUGAGUGACGGUAAUGGGUAAAGAAGCACCGGCUAACUACGUG
rnacentral:rRNA from 1 species